rnacentral:rRNA from 1 species
ACAACAUGUCCAAGGGUGGGGGGAUAGCCGGCCCAACGGCCGGGGUAAUACCGCAUGCAGUCACCUGCGGCAUCAAAGGUGACGAAAGCCGGGGCAACCUGGCGCCCAUGGAGUGGCUUGCGGCCUAUCAGCUAGUUGGUGAGGUAACGGCUCACCAAGGCUACGACGGGUAGCUGGUCUGAGAGGAUGACCAGCCACAUUGGGACUGAGACACGGCCCAG